rnacentral:lncRNA from 1 species
GGCGAACUAUUAUAAAUUCUAAAUACAGUGAGCAGUUUACAUUUUGAGCCUUUCGUUUUUUUUUUCAAUAUUUUUUACUGUGUCAAAAGAAAAGAAAACCAUGAUUCGAUGUGAAUGUUUGCAUUUGUUCAGAUACGAGGAAUCUCAAAAUAUUGGGCGUACUUAAAGCUCCUUGGGUUGCUCGGCCAUAAUUUCAUAGGCCCUCCUUAUAAAAAAUUCACUGCACCAUAUUCUUUAAUAAUUUUUCUUGAUG